AUGGGCCAAUUGCAAGGGUGGGAGAAUUCCAGGAGUCCAGGGAGACUCCCAGGGAUGGGAGAAUUCCAGGGAUGGGAGAAUUCCAGAGAUCCAAGAAUAGUCCCAGGGAUGGGAGAAUUCCAGGGAUGGGCCAAUUCCACGGAUCCAGGGAUAAACCCAGGGAUGGGAGAAUUCCAGGGGUCCAGGGAGACUCCCAGGGAUGGGACAAUUGCAGGGAUGAGAGAAUUCUGGGAAUGGGCCAGUUCUGGGAAUGGGCCAAUGCCAGGGAUCCAGGGACAUUCCCAGGGAUGGGAGAAUUCCAGGAAUGGGAGAAUUCCAGGGGUGGGAGAAUUCCGGGAAUGGGAGAAUUCCAGGGGUCCAGGGAUAGUCCCAGGAAUGGGAGAAUUCCAGGGAUGGGCCAAUUCCAGGAAUCCAGGGACAUUCCCAGGGAUGGGAAAACUCCAGGAAUGGGCCAAUUGCAGGGGUGGGAGAAUUCCGGGAAUGGGAGAAUUGCAGGGGUGGGAGAAUUCCGGGAAUGGGACACUCCCAGGGGUGGGAAAAUUCCAGGAAUGGGAAAAUUCCGGGAAUGGGAGAAUUGCAGGGGUCCAGGGAUACUCCCAGGGAUGGGAAAACUCCAGGAAUGGGCCAAUUCCAAGGGUGGGCCAAUUCCAAGGGUGGGAGAAUUCCAGGAAUCCAGGGACAGUCCCAGGGAUGGGGAAAUUGCAGGAAUGGGCCAAUUCCAAGGAAGGGACACUCCCAGGGAUCCGGGACCAAUUGCAGGGAUGGGAGAAUUCCAGGGAUUCAGGGACAUUCCCAGGGAUGGGAGAAUUCCAGGAAUCCAGGGACAUUCCCAGGGAUGGGAGAAUUCCAGGGAUGGGCCAAUUCCAAGGGUGGGACAAUUCCAGGGAUGGGAGAAUUCCAGGAAUCCAGGGAGACUCCCAGGGAUGGGACAAUUGCAGGGAUGGGAGAAUUCUGGAAAUGGGAGAAUUGCAGGGGUCCAGGGACAGUCCCAGGGAUGGGAAAACUCCAGGGAUGGGCCAAUUCCAAGGAAGGGACACUCCCAGGGAUCCGGGACCAAUUGCAGGGAUGGGAGAAUUCCAGGGAUUCAGGGACAUUCCCAGGGAUGGGAGAAUUCCAGGAAUCCAGGGAGACUCCCAGGGAUGGGACAAUUGCAGGGAUGAGAGAAUUCCAGGAAUGGGCCAGUUCUGGGAAUGGGCCAAUUCCAGGAAUCCAUGGACAUCCCCAAGGAUGGCAAAACUCCAGGAACGGGACCCUCCCAAGCAUCCAGGGCCCAAUCCCAAAGCUCCAGAGCAGCCCGGAACGCCGAGCAGGAGGCGUUUCCCGGGAAUGCUGACCAGGAUAUCCUGGGAUGCGCGUGCGUCGGCCGCGGGCAGCCCGUGGAGCUGCUGCUGGAGCUGCGCCAUUCCCUGGGGCAGAUCCCGCGCCGGGAUGAACCAAUCGCGCUCCUCCUCCUCCUCCAGCAUCUCCUGGAAGCAGCGAUCCAGGAAUUCCUGCUCCUGCAGCUCCUCCUCCACCUGCCCGGAGAGAUCCCGCCCACGGUUUUUUGGUUUUUUUUUUUUUCCACGCGGCACCAGGAAUUCAUGGAAUGGCCGAGCUUGGAAAAUUCGCCUUCCCCACGUGCUCGAUCCCGCCGGGAAGGGGGAAUCCAGGAUUUUUGGGUUUUUUUCCACGCAGGAAUGUUGUCGAUAUCCCAACCCAGCUGUUGCUGCUGAUGCCAUUCCCGGAUUUCUCUGCAGGGAACCACGAGGUUCCUCCGGAGGCUGCUUUUUCCCAGGAAUUCCUGGGAUGGGAUGGCAGAGUUUUCCCAGCCUGGCAUUCCUGCGGUUGCUCCGGCAGGGAUGUGGGAGCAGAGGAAAGCUGGGAAUUGCCCUGAGGGGCCGAUCCCAUUUUCCCGGUUUUCCAUGGAUUCCAGAGAUUCCACGAGGAGCGAAGCCAGGAUGCACAAAGGCUGAGUUUUUCCAUGGGAUGGAGCACCGGGAAAAGCGGGAAUUCUGUGCCUGGGGUGGGGCAGAAAGGUGGGAAUUCUGUGCCUGGGGAGGGCAGAAAGGUGGGAAUUCUGUACCUGGGGAGGGGCAGAAAAGCGGGAAUUCUGUGCCUCGGGAAAGGCAGAAAGGUGGGAAUUCUGUGCCUGGGGAAGGGCAGAAAAGCGGGAAUUCUGUGCCUGGGGAGGGGCAGAAAAGCGGGAAUUCUGUGCCUGGGGAGGGCAGAAAAGCGGGAAUUCUGUGCCUCGGGAAAGGCAGAAAGGUGGGAAUUCUGUGCCUGGGGAGGGGCAGAAAAGCGGGAAUUCUGUGCCUGGGGAGGGCAGAAAGGUGGGAAUUCUGUGCCUGGGGAAAGGCAGAAAGGUGGGAAUUCUGUGCCUGGGGAGGGCAGAAAGGUGGGAAUUCUGUGCCUGGGGAGGGGCAGAAAAGCGGGAAUUCUGUGCCUCGGGAAAGGCAGAAAAGCGGGAAUUCUGUGCCUGGGGAAAGGCAGAAAGGUGGGAAUUUUGUGCCUGGGGAGGGCAGAAAAGCGGGAAUUCUGUGCCUGGGGAGGGGCAGAAAAGCGGGAAUUCUGUGCCUGGGGAGGGCAGAAAGGUGGGAAUUCUGUGCCUGGGGAGGGGCAGAAAAGCGGGAAUUCUGUGCCUGGGGAGGGCAGAAAAGCGGGAAUUCUGUGCCUGGGGAGGGCAGAAAGGUGGGAAUUCUGUGCCUGGGGAGGGGCAGAAAAGCGGGAAUUCUGUGCCUGGGGAGGGCAGAAAAGCGGGAAUUCUGUGCCUGGGGUGGGGCAGAAAAGCGGGAAUUCUGUGCCUGGGGAGGGGCAGAAAGGUGGGAAUUCUGCCUCCAGCUCCCAAAUACCAACAACAUUCCAAAGGAGCAAUUCCAGAGGAAACCAUGGAGCUGCUGGAGCCCCUCUGGAUCAGGCUGGGAGAGCUGGGAAUGCUCCCUUGGAGAAGGAAUUCCAGGGAUUUCUUGGAGUCCAUUCCAGAGCCUAAAGGGGCUCCAGGAGAGCCGCAGAGGGAUUUGGGAUCAGGGAUUUGGGAUCAGGGAUUUGGGAUCAGGAGCCAGGGAAUGGCUUCCCAGUGGGAAACUGGAAUCCAGCGGGGCUUUUGGGAAGGAAUUCCUGCCUGGAAAUCGGGAUAUGGAAGCCGAGCUGCCCAGGAAGGUCGGCUCAUCCCAGCAGGAGAUUAUCCCGGGAUUCUGCUCUGCCAGGGACAUCCAGCUGAAUAUUCCCGGUUUUCCAGCCUCUCCUAGGCCCGGGAUGUUUGCCUGA
rnacentral:lncRNA from 1 species